ACUCCUACGGGAGGCAGCAGUGGGGAAUAUUGCACAAUGGGGGAAACCCUGAUGCAGCCAUGCCGCGUGUGUGAAGAAGGCCUUCGGGUUGUAAAGCACUUUCAGUAGGGAGGAAGGUAGUGUAGUUAACACCUGCACUAUUUGACGUUACCUACAGAAGAAGCACCGGCUAACUCCGUGCCAGCAGCCGCGGUAAUACGGAGGAUCCAAGCGUUAUCCGGAAUCAUUGGGUUUAAAGGGUCCGUAGGUGGACGAUUAAGUCAGGGGUGAAAGUCUGCAGCUCAACUGUAGAAUUGCCUUUGAUACUGGUUGUCUUGAAUUAUUGUGAAGUGUUAGAAUAUGUAGUGUAGCGGUGAAAUGCAUAGAUAUUACAUAGAAUACCAAUUGCGAAGGCAGAUCACUAACAAUAUAUUGACACUGAUGGACGAAAAGCGUGGGGAGCAAACAGGAUUAGAUACCCUGGUAGGAUAGCGU
rnacentral:rRNA from 1 species